rnacentral:rRNA from 1 species
CCCAGGCCUUGUACACACCGCCUGUCACAUCAUGAAAGCCGUUUGUACCCGAAGUCGCCCCUCAAAAGGUGCCGAAGGUAUGGAUGGUGAUUGGGAUG